AAUAGCCUAACGGCUGAACCAGCAACUUGGAGGAACGAAUAGCAAUAGCUAAUUGCACAUACAUAUGAUGCAAUAUCGACUCAGUCGAAUAAAAUUCUGGCUAGAAUUAUGAUAAUGACAUUGUCUGGCUAUGUGUCUUGACUAAAUUACGUGCCAGCAGUCGCGGUAAUACGUAAAAGACUAGUGUUAUUCAUCUUUAAUAGGUUUAAAGGGUACCCAGACGGUAAAUUAAGCCCUAUACGGAACUAAUUUGCUAGAGUUACUUAUGCGGGGGCUAUGAAGUACUAAUGGUGUAGAGAUAAAAUUUUGUAAUACCAUUUUUCGAAAGAAAAGUUAUGGCACUGGUAAAGGCGAAAGCAUCCUCUUAUGUGAUAACUGACGUUGAAGGACGAAGGCUUUGGAUCGCGAAUAGGAUUAGAUACCCUAGUAGUCAAAGGAGAGAAUUAUGAGUGUCAUAGAUUAGAGAUUAACCUUUAUUCUAUAAAUGAAAGUGUAAGCACUCCACCUCAAGAGUAAUUUGGCAACAUUGGAACUGAAAUCAUUAGACCGUUUCUGAA
rnacentral:rRNA from 1 species